UCCACAUUCCAAAAAGAAAGCCAAAAGUUGGGAUGAGGAAAGCGACGAUGAAGGCGAUGGUGGCAGCGAGAAUGAAGGCAGUGAAGAUGAGGACUAGGAGGAUCUUAGGACGGAGUACAUGCUGAUUCCGGUUGGUCGAGCCGAAGAUGAAGUGGACGCAAGUGAUUUCCUGUGGAAGAAACAUUGAUGAAACAGAAGAGCAAAAAGAAAAACACCAUGCCUCACGUAUGUGGAAGAAGAAGUUUUUCAAAGAAAAGAAAUAAUAUUACAAUCAAGACUGAAAAACGACCAUGUCGAGCAGAGUUUUUUAUUGAGACUCGCACGAAACCUAAUGGAAGCUUUGUAUGCGAAGAAAAAAAAGGGCGGAAGCACUUACGACAUUGUUGGGCCAAAACUCACAUGUGGCAGACAAUGUCACUACUAGUUUGGAUGAUGAAUAUGCACAAGUGUUUGGUCCGGAGUGUCCUGGACGAGUACGGUGUGUUGGUCGUGGACCUACACCUUCAAACCAAUGAACCGUUUAACUGUUACGAGACAAGAGAUAGAAAAUUCAAAAAUGGUUGUCGACUUGAAGUCACAAGUGAAAGAAUUAUCAGAUCAAGUUAAGGGAAUGACUACGUUCAUCCAACAAGUAAUUGUACUUCAACUGGUGACCAGGUAAUAAUAUAGUAAUAAUAUAGUUUAUAAGUUAAUAGUAUUUUUUACACUUUUGAUAUGUAGACUAAUAUGUUUAACUAUUAUUUUGGCAAGAGCAUGGAAUUCAAGUUUUGCUGUAGCUUUUGUUAACAUACCAAAUCCAUCUUUUGCCAGCAUACCAAAUUCAUCAAAUCCAAAUCAGGAACGAAAUGAUGAUGCUGUUAGAGAUUAAGACUCAGACGUUGGAAGCAAUAGCAAUGAUCUUCAUCAACAUUAGUUUAAUAAUAUUUUCAGCAACUUUCAGUUUAUUUUAUUUUAUGAAUUU